rnacentral:lncRNA from 1 species
ACGAGAGUGACCAUAUUCAGGUAAGAACCUCAAAUUUGAACUCUUUAAUCCCAUAAUAAAUUGUAUAUUCAUGAAUUAAUGAAUGUGUUGUCACUUGGAGGGGAAGGAGUAUUAUAUUGGUUUUUAGAAUGCAUUAUUCUUUCAAUUAAUGUUGUUGUACGUGGAUUUGGGAAUUUGGGGUACAAGUUUUAGUGGGGUAUUCAUGUGAGGUAGGUCAGGAGGUAAGGAAUUGGAUGUUGGGCAACAUGUUACAGUGGGGGAAGAGAAAGUAUUGUCCUCGAUUGUUAAUUAAUGAGGUGCUAAUGAUUACUAUUUCAGAGAAGGCAUAAUUUCUGUAUAUUUCUAACCAUAAAUUGACACCACCGACAUUUUUAUGUGGCUCCGUUGUUUGAGAUUUUCUUUAGUUAUCAUAUUAUGACUCACGUUUUAAUAUCUUGAGUAGGUAGUUAAAUAUUAGAAGUAUGGUAUUACGUGAAUACCAUUCGAAUUAUGAUAUUGGGAAAAUUGGGACUUAACCCUAGACUUGAAACUUGGAAAAUAUGAUAGUUGAAAUGUUGAUUGACAUCAAGAUUUACGAACUGGAUUAUAAAUUUGGGUGAAUUGUUGGUUCAAGGCUAAACACAUAGUAAUGUGGGUGUUGUUAAUUUCAAAAUCUUAUGGUAGGAAUUUGUUUGGAUAGAUUGUAUUGAUUUGGUGCCCAGUGUAAGGGGAAGACUCAAGUCCCGGAGUGAUUGUUCGACUAUUUGAGGCAAGUGAAUUUCUAAACCCUUGUUAAGUGUAUGGAAUUCGUGUAUUUCCUUGUAACAUGUGUUUGGAGGUAAUGAGACUUGGUGAUGGGUUGACUUGUCCACAUUGAUUAAUUCUAAUAAUGGAAAAGGGGUAAUAAAAGGCAAUGUGAUUAAUUAUUUGUGUGUGAUGUGUUGAGAAUUGUUUGUGACGGGCAUUGGUACGAAUAUCGGUGUUAUAAAGGGAAAGUUUAUUACUAUAGAAUACAGAUUGUAAUCCGAGAAUGUCAAAGCAUAUGGGCAUUAGCUGAUAUAUUAUUGACUUGAUUUAUUAUGUGUGAUUGUGUUCUUUAUUAAACCCGUAUACUGGUGAUAGCUGAGGUAAUUGCAUAUCAUAUUGAUAUUUGAUUAAGAUACAUCAUUCCUUUUAUUGAAAUCAUAUUGUGCACAUGUAUUGACAUGAGAUUGAGUAUAAGUUGGGCACGUGGAGAUCGUCCGUGCUAGGGAUGGUAAGAUGUUAAAAUUAUAAUUUGGCACGUGGAGAUCGUUCGUGUGAAAUUUGUUUGAUUCAUGAUAGUGCGUUGAGACCGUCCGCACAAACACGUAAAGAUCGUCUGUGUCGGUAUAUGGACCUCGCGAGUCCCCCAUGCGUCAUGAACUCUCGAUGUAUUUCCGAGGAGUAUCAUGUAUAUACGGUUGAGAGAGUACUUGGUAUUCUGAGGCAUAUCAUUUCAUGGUGUCAUAUUGCAUUGCAUCCCAUGACGUCCUUCAUUCUUGAUGAUUAUAUAUUUUAUUGAUGGUUGGAAAGUACCUGAUGUUUGAUUACCUCUAUUUGAUGAAUUUGAUCUUAUGUGUUGUUGAUAUUUGUGAGUGCCUUUUUGUGAAAGUUGUGAUUGAUGAAUAUUGAGUUUGUUGUUGAGGAUAUGUAAUUUGUUAAAGUGAUUGUUGUUGAGCUGAGUGUUAUGUAAAUUGUGAACUGUUAGGUUGGACUGGUUUUAUGCAGGUUGUAGUUGUAGAGGUUCGGUUGGGGUGUAAUGAGUACCCGUAUUCUAUUCCCUUAGCUUGUGUUUAGAGAUGUACUUGCUGAGUAUCGUGUGGUUUGGUACUCACCCCUUGCUUCUACAAUUUUUUGUAGGUUACGAGCCUGGAUUUUGUGAUACUUUCCAUUCUCCUAUUUUCCGAGGCUUUUUGGAGAUUUGUGAAGUAGUUGUUUAUCAUCUCAGUGGACCUUCUUACUCCUUAUUUAUGAUAUUGUUCUAUUUUAGAGACAACAUCAUUUGAGACUUACGUUUUCUUUCAAAUCUAUUGUAAUACUUUAGAGGCUUGUACACGUGACAACCAGAUUUUUGGGGUAUUUUUGAGUUAAUUAUGAAAUUUCUGUAUUUUAAUGUAAUGGGUGAGUGUUAGGGUGUGGACAAGCUGAGUCUAAGUAGAGUCUCGAAGAUCGGUACGGAGACGUCAGUACUUAUCUUUGAGAGGCUAUAGUGACUUUUAGGAAAAAUCUUCACUUUUUGAAUCUCUAUCGUGCAUCCUUGGUCCGAUUUGAUCCUUAUCACUUCACUUCAUUCUCACUCAUUUAUGUGAUGACUCAUGCGUAAUUCCUCAUGUGAGUAUUUGGUGUGUUGUAUUUGUCUUGGAUGUUAGAUUUGUUACAAAUAUGGAAGUGAUAGACUUAUGGGAAAGAUGUGUUGUCAGAUUUAGAAUGUUCAACGAUUCGAAUAGAUUGAGUUAAGUUAUGACUUGACGAAACAUUUUGAGGAUAUUUGGAUGGCUAGAUUGAACAGUGGUUUUAGGGACUUCAUGAGCGUAUACUUUUUUUGGGCUAGUCAUCUAGUAGUGGGAUCAAUACUUGUGUGGUAUAGGCAAUAUUUGGAGUGGUUUGACAAUUGAAAGUGGAUGAUUAAAAUGAUGGCUAGAUAAGGAACAUUGUAACUUCGCAAAAUACAGUUACUAAAGUGGUUAUAACAUGUAUGAAUUUCUUAGCGAAUCAUGAGAAAGAUGUUGCACCAAUUGUGGUCAGAACCUCUACUGCGAUUUUAUAGAUUGAAUGUGUAUCAAAGGAGGUCAUGAUCGGACUACUACAAUAGUGUCGAUGUUUACUUGGUUAGAAUUACGGAAUGUGUUACUUCUACUACCAACCUGAUCUAAGAAAUAAUGCAUAUCUCUUGGGAUAGAGACUGAAUAGAUUUAAGAAUGUUUUGUAGAUAUUCAAUAGAUAGAAAUGUGUGGGCUAUUUGGGUACAAUCUUCUCGAUAGGUAUGAUGUGUUCUAGUGAUUGAUCUAAUGGACUUUCAUUAUGUGAUACAGUGGUAUAUGAAAAUGGAUACAUCGAUUGUCAAGUGUGAAUACUAACUACUUAAAGAGUUAUCAAUUGUAUCACAUGCUCAUAUAAUAAGAUUUGAUGUUGCAUUCAUAUUUGAGAAACCAACUAGCUUGUUACUGCGAACGAAUGGGUUAAGCAUUAUUUAUAAGAAAGCUUUUAGUGGUGAAUCGUUGGGUACAAUAUUAAUGCAUUCAGGUUGUAGAAUGUAUCUCGGGAAUUUUAAAUGAGUGGUGAUUUCAUUGUAAGCUCCAUGGAAGUGGAUCGAUAUUAGAAUGACAAGCUUAUGGGUAAAGGAAGUCCCAACGAGUAUACUUGCGUGAAGGUAAUUGAGAAUUUUAGUAAGAAAUUGUGUAUAAAAUUGAGUUAGUCCUUUGGAUUUGAUUGGUAUAACUAGGUUUGAGGUGUCAUAUCGAUGAUAAUGUUGACUUUGUGGUGAUGUUGAUGGUUGCCUGAGCAUAAUUGUAGUAAGAGUUCGUGAUGGAUUGUGAUUAAGAUGCAACUAUAUAAUAAUGAUUGUUGGUUAAAUGGAUUUUGUAUGGUAAUGACGACUUGCAAGUACCUAAUGUUGUGGUUUUCUACUAUUUGAUGAGUAACGUGGUUGCAUGGAAAGUUAUAAGAGGUGCUGAGACACCACUCGAAUAGAAUUGAAAUGUACUAGAGUCAUAAUGAAAAAAUAGUGGGAUGUAGUGUAGCCUUUGGAAAGAGGUGAGGACAACAAUAUUUUCUCUUAUUGCAAGGGCUAAAGAGGUAUCUUCAAAGGAAUUGAGAAUUGAGGUAUAAAGACAUGUGGUUCCAUCUAUUUUACUAUGGUUAUGGUGAUAGUGUUACGUGCCAUUCAUAUCAGUUAAAAGUUGUUGGAUAAGAUUUGAGAAAGAAGUCUAUAGACGUUUGACUCGAGGGUGAUGAUAAGUGCUUUAUUUUUUUGAGUUUGAUAAUUGGUACAAUUGAAUUUUAACGAAGGUUACGGUAAGAUCAAUGGAGAGGCGAUCAAUUAUAGGCUAAGAUACGUGAAUUCAUAAAGAUCUUCAAGGUAUGAGCUAAUGUUGAUAGAUAAUGGGAUUGUGUUACAUAGUUGGAUUCAAAAGUUCAAGUUUUUCAUGGUGAGUUUAUGUUCGUGAUAGUAUGUUUUGUCAAGGUAUGGAUAGAUAAGGUAAGAAAUGAUCGAUCGCUUUGAAUAUUGAACAUUUGGAAGGACUUGUACAUGAUUUGAGUCAUAAAGUGUGUUAUUUUGGUUUUUUCAAUGGACCUAAGAAAAGAUUUCAUUUAAUGUUUUUAUUUAGAGGAUAAGGUAAAAAUGUCAAGGGUUGUUGGCCAAAGAAUAAGAUUGGUGAGCGAGACAACAAAAUGAACAAGUGUCUGGUGUAUUGAAAAGUUCAAGAUAUUUAGACUUUUAUGUCAUGCGAAAGAUUUAAGAAAAAUGAAGGAAUAAAACAUCUCGUAUAAGCCAAUGGUUUGUAGCCUAUUAGUUUAGAUAUAACUGUGAGAUGUGAACUAGUUUGGUACAGACUUACUAGGAAUUUAUCUUCGACUUUUCUAAAGAUUGAGUUUUUGUUUGGUGAUAAGCAAUGAUGUGUGGAAGAUUCUAUGUGGUUAUGUCAAGCUAGAUUGUUUAAAUUAUGAUAGGUAACUUAUUGAUGAUCAACGGUGUGGACCUACAGUUUUAUAUGAUUAAUGAGGAUUUCGAGGGGAUUGAAACUACUUUGUUGAUGGGACGACACAAACAGUUAUGAUGUGCUACAUAGGCAUUUGAUAGUGAGUAAAGGUUAUGAGCUUAUAGUAUACCGAAUUAUUAGAGUGACCAAGAAUUUCUCUAAGUUUUAACAUGAGGUAUAUGAUAGGUUGAAUGGUAAUUGAAACUUGGUAUGUGAAAGAUUGUAUGGAGUUGAAUUUGGGUGUGAUUUAAUAGUUUUAUCUUGAUGGAAAGGUACUAUCAAAUUUGAAAUUAGUGUUAUCAGCCUUGUGUGGAACUCGUAUUUAUCAUAAAAUGCUUAUUUGGAAAGAGAGAGUGCCAUAGUUUGAAAAUUUUGGAGGUGAUAAUGUGUUUGUUAAAAGACUUUGAUACUAGUAACAGUUUGAGAGUAAGGUAAAUGAUUAAUGUGGUUAUGAUGAAUUGUUAAUAUUAGGAGUGUUGACUUUAAUGAAGUAUUGUGAGAUCAUGUGGGAUUCAAUGAAUCGAGUAAUGUUUACGAUUGUAAUGAAGACUAGACUAAUUGAUUGUGGGUGGCUAAAAAUCAAGGAGAUGGAGUUAGAUGGAUGAAAAUGUUUGAUAUGGGCACUAUGGAAGAAGUCUCUAGUGUUAUUCGACUUUGAUUCUAUAUAUUCUUAUAUGACCAUCUACUUCGUUUUGGAUAUGGUUUGGAGUGUGAUUUGCUACCUAUACCCACACAUGUUUUCAUUUCUAUGGGUGAAUUCCUAGUGGUGGAUCGGGUGUACCGAUCCUGUAAUUGUCCUCUUGGUGGGGUGGCAUCCUUGGCUAGACUUGUUCACUUCAGUUGCGGCAUAUUUGGUGUUGUCUGGAAAAGUAGAAGUAUACCAUUGUUUCUAUAUGCACGAUCUUCCUUAUGAGAACUUAUAUAAGAGAUUUCGUGAAUAGUUACAGUUAUCUGACAGUGUUGUUAAAGGUUCUACAUCCUAGACUGUACCACUUGUUAGGUGCUUACUUGAUCUUGUUCUUCUUUGGAUUAGAUAUGUUUGAUUCUCCCUUGAUGGGUACCCGAUGUCUAAAGAUCAGAUUUUUAUAACUUAAGCUUGUGAAAAGAUGGUGUUGUGAAAAGGGAAUCGUGAUAAUAUAUGUGAUGGUAUGUGCAUUAUGAGUGUCUGGUGGUUGAUUCAGGCUCGCUUCUAGUUGUAGUCAGUAUUGAUUCAGAAGGUUUUCUUGGUUAUGUGAGAAAAGAUUCGUCAUGAUGUUUGUGUUAUGGUCCAGAGGGCUUCAGUUUAGCUUUGGUUCAUAGAUUAGUCUGUGGGUUAGUAAUCAAUCGUGAUUUGUAAAUUUGUCAAAUUUGAUUACAAAGUUCAGUAAUUAGUAGUUGAUCUUGAUAGGAUGGUCUUAAGGAGGAGCUCACUAGGAGAGAUGAGCACCGAGUCUAAAAGAUCAUUUCUCAGGCUUUUGGUAACAUCGGUUAUUCUUCCUUCUCCGUCUUUAUGUUCGAGGAUGAACAUGAUUUUUAGUGGUGGAUAAUGUAACGACCCUCUUAGUCGUUUUAUGAAUUUUAAUCAUUAUUUUUAUAUUAACCCUUUUUAGUAGCUUUUACAAAUAAUUUAUAUGACUUAUAAGAAUGAGUGAUAUGAUUGUCAGAUUUAAUAAAAGAUUAUUUUGUUGUUAAUAAUAAUAGAAAAGAAAAAUAAAAUAAAAAAAUUUAAAGAGAAAUAAAAGGGUAAAUAUUGCUGGCUGUUGUGAACAACAACAGUUCGCGCAGAGGGAAAAAAUAGAAAAAAAGAAAGGGUUUGGGCGAGAACUUACCUGCGAGUUGCGGCGUCCCACGAGAGUGACAAUAUUCAGGUAAGAACCUCAAAUUUGAACUGUUUAAUCCCAUAAUAAAUUGUAUAUUCAUGAAUUAAUGAAUGUGUUGUCACUUGGAGGGGAAGGAGUAUUAUAUUGGUUUUUAGAAUGUAUUGUUCUUUCAAUUAAUGUUGUUGUACGUGGGUUUGGGGUACAAGUUUUAGUGGGGUAUUCAUGUGAGGUAGGUCAGGAGGUAAGGAAUUGGAUGUUGGGCAACAUGUUACAGUGGGGGAAGAGAAAGUAUUGUCCUCGAUUGUUAAUUAAUGAGGUGCCCAGUGUAAGGGGAAGACUCAAGUCCCGGAGUGAUUGUUCGACUAUUUGAGGCAAGUGAAUUUCUAAACCCUUGUUAAGUGUAUGGAAUUCGUGUAUUUCCUUGUAACAUGUGUUUGGAGGUAAUGAGACUUGGUGAUGGGUUGACUUGUCCACAUUGAUUAAUUCUAAUAAUGGAAAAGGGGUAAUAAAAGGCAAUGUGAUUAAUUGUUUGUGUGUGCUGUGUUGAGAAUUGUUUGUGACAUGCAUUGGUACGAGUACCAGUGUUAUAAAGGGAAAGUUUAUUACUAUAGUUUGCGGAUUGUAAUUCGAGAAUGCCAAAGCAUAUGGGCAUUAGCUGAUAUAUUAUUAACUUGAUUUAUUAUGUGUGAUUGUGUUCUUUAUUGAACCCGUAUACUGGUGAUAGCUAAGGUAAUUACAUAUCAUAUUGAUAUUUGAUUGAGAUGCAUCAUCCCUUUUAUUGAAAUCAUAUUGUGCACAUGUAUUGACAUGAGAUUGAGUAUAAGUUGGGCACGUGGAGAUUGUCCGUGCUGGUGGUGAGAUGUUAAAAUUAUAAUUUGGGCACGUGGAGAUCGUCCGUGAGAAAUUUAUUUGAUUUAUGAUAUUGCGUUGAGAUCGACCGCACAAAAACGUGGAGAUCGUCCAUGUCGGUAAUGGACCUCGCGAGUCCCCCAUGUGUCAUGAACUCUCGAUGUAUUUCCGAGGAGUAUCAUGUAUAUACAGUUGAGAGAGUACUUGGUAUUCUGAGGCAUAUCAUUUCAUGGUGUCAUAUUGCAUUGCAUCCCGUGACAUCCUUCAUUCUUGAUGAUUAUGUGUUUUAUUGAUGGUUGGAAAGUACUUGAUGUUUGAUUACCUCUAUUUGAUGAACUGAUCUUGUGUGUUGUUGCUAUUUGUGAGUGCCUUUUUGUGAAAGUUGUGAUUGAUGAUUAUUGAGUUUUGUUGUUGAGGAUAUGUAAUUUGUUACAGUGAUUGUUGUUGAGCUGGGUGCUAUGUAAACUGUGAACUGUUAGGUUGGACUGGUUUUAUGUAGGUUGUAGUUGUGGAGGUUCGGUUGGGAUGUAAGGAGUACCCGUAUUCUAUUCCCUUAGCUUGUGUUUAGAGGUGUAGUUGUUGAGUAUCGUAUGAUUUGGUACUCACCCCUUGCUUCUACAAUCUUUUGUAGGUUGCGAGCCUGGAUUUUGUGAUACUUUCCAUUCUCUUAUUUUUUGAGGCUUCUUGGAGAUUUGUGAGGUAGUUGUUUAUCAUCUCAGCGGACCUUCUUACUCCUAUUUAUGAUAUUGUUCUAUUUUAGAGACAACAUCUUUUGAGACUUACGUUUUCUUUCAAAUCUAUUGUAAUACUUUAGACGCUUGUACACGUGACAACCAGAUUUUUGGGGUAUUUUUAAGUUAAUUAUGAAAUUUCCGUAUUUUAUUGUAAUGGGUGAGUGUUAGGCUGACUUGUCUUGGUGGGAUAAGACGAGUGUCAUCACGUCUAUUUUUGGGUCGUGACAAUCAAAGUUUCUCCGCAC